GAUGAACGCUGGCGGCGUGCUUAACACAUGCAAGUCGAACGGAAAGGCCCAAGCUUGCUUGGGUACUCGAGUGGCGAACGGGUGAGUAACACGUGGGUGAUCUGCCCUGCACUUCGGGAUAAGCCUGGGAAACUGGGUCUAAUACCGGAUAGGACCACUUCUUGGAUGUUGUGGUGGAAAGUUUUUUCGGUGUGGGAUGAGCUCGCGGCCUAUCAGCUUGUUGGUGGGGUAAUGGCCUACCAAGGCGUCGACGGGUAGCCGGCCUGAGAGGGUGUACGGCCACAUUGGGACUGAGAUACGGCCCAGACUCCUACGGGAGGCAGCAGUGGGGAAGAUUGCACAAGGGGCGCAAGCCUGAUGCAGCGACGCCGCGUGGGGGAUGACGGCCUUCGGGUUGUAAACUCCUUUCGCUAGGGACGAAGCGUUUUGUGACGGUACCUGGAGAAGAAGCACCGGCUAACUACGUG
rnacentral:rRNA from 1 species